CUUUGUGUAUUUUCAGCUGUAUUUACACAGGAUUUCGACAGACCCCUCCACAUGAAUGCUACAGCUGGCAGCACAGUCAAUCUGACAUGUCUUAAUCAUGGUUCGACGUCCUGCGCUAGUGCUACCUGGCUCAAGGUGGAAUCUGACAGCAGUCUUAUUGUUUCAUUACUCUAUUCAGAUCGGAAUACUGUCACUAGUAACAACGAGAAAGGCUGCACGCUGACAAUAAAGCACUUACAGCACAGCAACUCUGAGGUUUAUUACUGUGCCAAUGAUUCCAGACCUCAACCAAACUCAUUGUGAAAAAUGACACCACUUUAGACCCUUCAGUCUAUGUUAUCCCUCCCUCAAACCAGCUUGUUUUCUCAGAUGGCUUGGCCACUCUUGUGUGCUUGGUGAUUGGGAAGAUUCCUGACUCAGACUCUGUUUAUUGGGAAACCCCAGUUAAUCUGAAGAGCAUUGGAUCCAACAAGACUAAGACAGUCAAACACUCUAUUGGCGAGGACUUGUACUUUAUCAUGAAAGAAGUGAUGGUCCCAGAAGAGACCUGGAAAAGCGGAGAGUCUUUCAGUUGUACUGUGAAAAUGGAAAGCAAGGAAUUCUUCAGCAAAACUAUACAAUUUCCAGUAUAUUGCAGUAGACGUAUAUGAAGAAAGAAGAAAAAAGAGAAUUCUGUAUGGACUGUUGACAACUGUUUCUCUGAUUCUUCUGGUUGUGUUGGCUUUAUUUUUCUACGGACAAAGGAAUUGCAAAGGAGAUCAAAGACCUAAAUGUGCUUCUAGUACACAGCAACAUACAAGAGAAAACUCAUGGGCAAAUACGUUUUUUUAAACUAUUUUUAGGAAACUUCAAAAGUAACUGGUCUUUACUGCACCCUGUUUGAUAAACACAGCCAUUAAAAAAAUGUGACAAAAAGGAAUGAAUGCCUGUGCUCUACAAAGCUUGGUAGCCUAUGGAAGUGAAGUCAGAACAGAAGGACUAGAUGAAAAUGGCAUUUCUACAGGAAGGUAAUCAUGCUGGUUGCUCUGUCUAACUGCUUUAAAUUUCUAAACAGCAACUGAAAGAUGGGAGUUUUGUUUUUAAAUUUGAACAAGAAUAUCAUGCUUUUCUAGAAGGGUUUGAGACUUCACAUUCUAGACAAUUCAUUUACUGUAUUUCAUUUGUCUAAUUAGUCAAUGAAACUCCAUUCAUCAAGAUGAUUUGAACUUUAUAUAUCAUCUUAAUUUAAUUAUCUAUUGGGUUACAAUGUCAAGCUGUCCAUUUCUAAGUAUAAUUCAAGUGCCAAUUGAAAAGAGUCUAUAAACAGUGCAGAAUUAAAUAUGGACUUUAUUAAAAUAUACACAUUCUGUACAGUGCUGGAAAAUUAUUGACUUUCAACCCAAAGGCACCACCUGCAGUGAUUAUAACUAAACCUCAGCCGUCUUUCUGAUCACAAGGAUCAUAUUUGUUAUUAUGAGUCACAAUGUGCUUUAGGCAGUUUACCCGGCUAAGGAUACUUCCUCUCGUAAAUUCAACACUUAUUUGUAGAUACAGUAGAAUUGGCUUAUAAUUCCAAAUUCCAAGUUUUUAAUUGAAUUCCAACCAAGGCUGUGACCGCACCUGCAAGUGGAUUAGACCGAGUCUGCAGGCCGAAUUUUUGACUCCUCAAUUAUAUGGAAUGUCUGCUUAUAAGAGAGUAGAUCAUUCUUUUUAUAGCGUAUAAACAAGUACACAGUUACUGUAUUAGAUGUUUUCUCUAGAGUAAACUGUUUUCUAAAUAGCUCAAAUUUGCUAUUUCAAUUGCAUUUAGGGCUAGCAGACCCUGUAUCCCUCCAGGUUACCAGGAUACCAACACAGUACACUGUAUGUGUAAUUUAAGGAUCAGCUUGAUUUAAGAAAUGAUGGGAAAUCUGAAAUUAACGCACCUGUUUUUUUUCCUAAGAGCAAAAUGUCUGAAUUGUAAUUUAUAUCAUGUCUAGUCACUUGUUAUCUCACCUGUAUAUAGAUGUAGUCUACUAUGAUGAAUAAAAUGUAGCAGCAUUU